GACGAACGCUGGCGGCGUGCUUAACACAUGCGAGUCGUACGGUAAGGCCCUUUCGGGGGUCCACGAGUGGCGAACGGGUGAGUAACACGUGAGUAACCUGCCCACAACUUUGGGAUAACGCUAGGAAACUGGUGCUAAUACUGGAUAUGUGCUCCUGCUGCAUGGUGGGGGUUGGAAAGCUCCGGCGGUUGUGGAUGGACUCGCGGCCUAUCAGCUUGUUGGUGGGGUAGUGGCCUACCAAGGCGGCGACGGGUAGCCGGCCUGAGAGGGUGACCGGCCACAUUGGGACUGAGAUACGGCCCAGACUCCUACGGGAGGCAGCAGUGGGGAAUAUUGCACAAUGGGCGCAAGCCUGAUGCAGCAACGCCGCGUGCGGGAUGACGGGCUUCGGGUUGUAAACCGCUUUCAGCAGGGACGAAGCUUUUUGUGACGGUACCUGCAGAAGAAGCACCGGCUAACUACGUG
rnacentral:rRNA from 1 species